AGUGAACGCUGGCGGUAGGCCUAACACAUGCAAGUCGAACGGCCGCACAGUAAGCGCUCGCUCUUACGGGUGGCGAGUGGCGGACGGGUGAGGAAUACAUCGGAAUCUACUUUUUCGUGGGGGAUAACGUAGGGACACUUACGCUAAUACCGCAUACGUCCUACGGGUUAAAGCAGUAGUUCUUCGCACCUUUCGCGUUUGAUUUAGCUGAUGUCGGAUUAGCUAGUUGGCGGGGUAAAGGCCCACCAAGGCGACGAUCCGUAGCUGGUCUGAGAGGAUGAUCAGCCACACUGGAACUGAGACACGGUCCAGACUCCUACGGGAGGCAGCAGUGGGGAAUAUUGGACAAUGGGCGCAAGCCUGAUCCAGCCAUACCGCGUGGGUGAAGAAGGCCUUCGGGUUGUAAAGCCCUUUUGUUAGGAAAGAAAAGCAGCGGGUGAAUACCCCGCUGUUCUGACGGUACCCAAAGAAUAAGCACCGGCUAACUUCGUG
rnacentral:rRNA from 1 species